GACAAUCAAUGCAUAUCUCGUACUCCGUAUUAAUUAGACCUGUACCCUCUAUAUAUACGGAGACGAGAGUGAGCCGUGGCCAUUGACCCAGAUUGCAUCUAUCUCAUAUUCUCGUACACAGUUCGUGGAAAAAAUGAAGAGGAGCAGCGUGGUGUACAUUAUUGCCGUUUUGUUCAUCGGGUGCCUUCUUAUUGGUGGACAAUGUCGGCCUGAGCCUGAGAGCACCAACGAAGAUGGCCGUGCCAACGCGACAAUGGUGGUCUCAUCAUCAGAUGAUAACGAAAUUACGAUGAAAUUUUGUGUUAUUAGGGAUUGUAAGACCAAAGGUGAAUUCUUGGGCUUGAAAGGAGCGUGCUUAUGCUGCCUCAAUCGGUCGGACGUACCGUGUUUUCAUACCCAAGAUGAGUGUAAGAAGAAUUGCCCACCAAUCUGAAUUAAUGCUGUGCAUUAUGAGAAGAUAUAAAGCAGUCUAUUAUAAUAAAUAAGAUAUUGUUCGAUGGCUUGACGCA